rnacentral:rRNA from 1 species
GAUGAACGCUAGCUACAGGCCUAACACAUGCAAGUCGAGGGACCGGCGCACGGAUGAGUAACACGUUUCUAACCUGACCUUUUCUCGGGGAGAGCCUUUCGAAAGAAAGAUUAAUACCCGAUAUAAUGGAUGGGGAUGCGUUCCAUUAGGUUGUUGGUAAGGAAACGGCCCACCAAGCCUUCGAUGGAUAGGGGUUCUGAGGGGAAGGUCCCCCACAUUGGAACUGAGACCCAGUCAAAAGUCGUACGUGAGGUAGCAGUGAGGAAUAUGAGUAAAUGAACGUUAGCCUGAACCUGCCAAGUAGCGUGAAGGAAGAAGGCUUAUGGGUCGAAAACUUCUUAUAUGUAAGAAUAUUUAUUAGAUGAAGAAGGAUCGGCUAACUCCGUGCCAGCAGCCGCGGUAAUAC